UUUCUCUUCCUUAUGACUUUCUUGAAACCAUUUUUUUGCUAGCUUAAAUUAUUGCAAGAAUACUGCACAAAAUUAUUACAAUAAUAAUGCACAUA